rfam:Thermoplasmatales archaeon DG-70 WOR1_52_54_678, whole genome shotgun sequence.
GCCUCGGUGGCUCAGCCUGGCGGAGCGACUGACUUGUAAUCAGUUGGUCGAGGGUUCAAAUCCCUCCCGGGGCU